rnacentral:rRNA from 1 species
CGCUACGGCGUCGAAGCAGUCUAUGUCAUACCUCCAAGAAAAGCUUGCACUGUCAUAAACAAAUAAUGCCUGUACCAUAACCGACACAGGUGGGUAGGUAGAGUAUACUAAGGGGCGCGAGAUAACUCUCUCUAAGGAACUCGGCAAAAUGACUCCGUAACUUCGGGAGAAGGAGUGCCUUAUUUAUAAGGUUGCAAUAACAAGAUCCAAGCAACUGUUUAUCAAAAACACAGGUCUCCGCUAAGUCGUAAGACGAUGUAUGGGGGCUGACGCCUGCCCAGUGCCAGAAGGUUAAAGAAGUUGGUUAGUGUAUGCGAAGCUGAUGACUGAAGCCCUGGUGAACGGCGGCCGUAACUAUAACGGUCCUAAGGUAGCGAAAUUCCUUGUCGGGUAAGUUCCGACCCGCACGAAAGGCGUAAUGAUUUGGAUACUGUCUCGGAGAGAGGCUCGGUGAAAUAGACUUGUCUGUGAAGAUGCGGACUACCUGCACCAGGACAGAAAGACCCUAUGAAGCUUUACUGUAACUUGAAAUUGGAAUUGGACUUUGCUUGCGCAGUAUAGGUGGGAAGCGUUGAAGAUAUUCUUGCGGGAGUAUUGGAGCUAUCAGUGAGAUACCACUCUUGUAAUGUUAGAUUUCUAACUUUGAACCAUAAUCUGGUCAAAGAACAGUUUCAGGUGGGCAGUUUGACUGGGGCGGUCGCCUCCCAAAUGGUAACGGAGGCGUACAAAGGUUUCCUCUGAACGGAUAGAAAUCGUAUCUAGAGUGUAAAGGCAUAAGGAAGCUUGACUGUGAGACCUACAAGUCGAGCAGGGACGAAAGUCGGUCUUAGUGAUCUGACGGUACUGAGUGGAAAGGCCGUCACUCAACGGAUAAAAGUUACUCUAGGAUAACAGGCUGAUCUCCCCCAAGAGUUCACAUCGACGGGGAGGUUUGGCACCUCGAUGUCGGCUCAUCGCAUCCUGGGGCGGUAGUACGUCCCAAGGGUUGGGCUGUUCGCCCAUGAAAGCGGUACGCGAGCUGGGUUCAGAACGUCGUGAGACAGUUCGGUCCAUAUCCGGUGUAGGCGUUAGAAUAUUGAGAGGAGCCUUCUUAGUACGAGAGGACCGAGAAGGACACACCGCUGGUGUACCAGUUAUCGUGCCAACGGUAAACGCUGGGUAGCUAUGUGUGGAGUGGAUAACCGCUGAAAGCAUCUAAGUGGGAAGCCCACCUCAAGAUGAGUAUUCUCAC